rnacentral:rRNA from 1 species
UACAGAGGUCUCAAGCGUUGUUCGGAUUUAUUGGGCGUAACGGGUGCGUAGGCGGCGCGGUAAGUCGGGUGUGAAAUCUCGGAGCUUAACUCCGAAACUGCAUUCGAUACUGCCGUGCUUGAGGACUGGAGAGGAGACUGGAAUUUACGGUGUAGCGGUGAAAUGCGUAGAUAUCGUAAGGAAGACCAGUGGCGAAGGCGGGUCUCUGGACAGUUCCUGACGCUGAGGCACGAAGGUCAGGGGAGCAAACGGG